rnacentral:rRNA from 1 species
UACGUAGGGUGCGAGCGUUAAUCGGAAUCACUGGGCGUAAAGCGCACGUAGGCGGAUGUGUCAGUCAGGGGUGAAAUCCCGGGGCUCAACCUCGGAACUGCCUUUGAUACAGCACGUCUCGAGUCCGGAAGAGGUGGGUGGAAUUCCUAGUGUAGAGGUGAAAUUCGUAGAUAUUAGGAAGAACACCGGUGGCGAAGGCGGCCCACUGGUCCGGUACUGACGCUGAGGUGCGAAAGCGUGGGGAGCAAACAGG